CACGUAGUUAGCCGUGACUUCCUCGAAGGGUAAUAUCAAUCGGAGACCAUUUCCUCUCUCCGCUCUUUUUCCCCUUCAACAGAACUUUACGAUCCGAAGACCUUCCUCGUUCACGCGGCAUUGCUCGUUCAGGCUUGCGCCCAUUGACGAAAAUUCCCUACUGCUGCCUCCCGUAGGAGUCUGGGCCGUGUCUCAGUCCCAGUGUGGCCGUCCGCCCUCUCAGGCCGGCUAUGCAUCGUCGCCUUGGUGGGCCGUUACCUCACCAACCAGCUAAUGCACCGCAGGUCCAUCCGUGCGCGGAGCCUUGCAGCUCCUUUAACACAGAGUCGAUGCCGUCUCUGUCCCUAUCCGGUAUCAGCUUCCGUUUCCGAAAGUUCUCCCCGGUCGCACGGGCAGGUUCCCUACGUGUUACUCACCCGUUCGCCACUCGAGUUCCCCGAAGGACCCCUCGUUCCGACUUGCAUGUAUUAGGCAUGCCGCCAGCGUUCAUCCUGAGCCAGGACUCAAACUCUCUACG
rnacentral:rRNA from 1 species